rnacentral:tRNA from 1 species
GGGCUUGUGGUGCAAUGGUUAACACGCACCGUUCGCAACGAUGAAAUCCGAGUUCGAUUCUCGGCAAGUCCA